rnacentral:rRNA from 1 species
GUAGAACCCCACCCUUGUGUAUAUUAUAUUGUUGCUUUAGCAGGUCGCCCUCUNNGCGUCGGCCUCGGCUGACUGUGCCUGCUAGAGGACCCUAAAUUUUGAAAUACAGUGUCGUCUGAGUACUAUUUAAUAGUUAAAACUUUCAACAACGGAUCUCUUGGUUCUGGCAUCGAUGAAGAACGCAGCGAAAUGCGAUAAGUAAUGUGAAUUGCAGAAUUCAGUGAAUCAUCGAAUCUUUGAACGCACAUUGCGCCCCUUGGUAUUCCGGGGGGCAUGCCUGUUCGAGCGUCAUUUAGACCAACUCCCGCUCCGGCGGGGUCUUGGGCUGCGCCUUUGGGCGGGCCUUAAAACCAGUGGCGGUGCCCUAAGGCUCUACGCGUAGUAAUUCUUCUCGCGAUAGGGUCCUUGCGGUGUCUUGCCAGCAACCCCCAACUCUCUAGGGUUGACCUCGGAUCAGGUAGGGAUACCCGCUGAACUUAAGCAUAUCAAUAAGCGGAGGAA